GAGAGAGAGAGAGAGAUGAUAAAUCAAGCCUGGUCCCUAAAACCCGUGAGACCCAUAAACCCUUUUGGCUGCAUCAUUUCUGGUUCAAUCACCUUACCAAGUAAAAGACAAUACUUCGUCUUGCUUUCGAAUGAGACAACUCGAAACUGGCAUACACCUCNNNNNNNNNNUGUAGUAUUGCCAUCUUAUCCAGCCUCAUUUUGGUCGCCUUCGGUAUGGGUACAAAAUAUCAUCCAGACUCUCUUUUAUGUAGUUCCCAACUCUUCGCAUGUUUCUAGCCACCCCUGAUGCAACCAGGCUUGCAUUCCUUGUAUACCUGCUCAGAAAGUCAUCUCCUGUAGCAUGGGCUGGUUUAUGUGUUCGAGGCUGAUGAAUUUCACGGCCACCUUCUCUACCAUGAACAUGAGCUGGAGCAGAUGCAUUAUCAGCAUUAGCAACUCUUCUAUCCACCAGAAGCUCAAGGCCCACACAGACUGGUAGCUGUGUUUUUGCAACUUGCUUAUCGGUAGAAUGAUCUUUGCUGAUAUACACUGAGUAUCCAGCACAAGCAUAAUAAAAAUC
rnacentral:misc_RNA from 1 species